UACGAAGGGGGCUAGCGUUGCUCGGAAUCACUGGGCGUAAAGGGUGCGUAGGCGGGUCUUUAAGUCAGGGGUGAAAUCCUGGAGCUCAACUCCAGAACUGCCUUUGAUACUGAGGAUCUUGAGUUCGGGAGAGGUGAGUGGAACUGCGAGUGUAGAGGUGAAAUUCGUAGAUAUUCGCAAGAACACCGGUGGCGAAGGCGGUUGGCUGGGCCGUGGCUGACGCUGAGGCGCGACAGCGUGGGGAGCAAACAGG
rnacentral:rRNA from 1 species